AUUUCGAGUCCUUGGGGACCCCUCAAAUCCCGGACGAGCCCCCAAAUGUAGGACCCCCAAGAAGGAGCCCCCCACUCAAGUCUUGGGACUCGGGGUUACCCAAAGAAACAUGAGAGACC
rnacentral:pre_miRNA from 7 species